CUGGAGGACAGGUGGCUGCAUGGCUGUCGUCAGCUCGUGUCGUGAGAUGUUGGGUUAAGUCCCGCCAACGAGCGCAACCCUUGCCUUUAGUUGCCAGCAGUUCGGGCUGGGCGACUCUAAAGGGACUGCCGGUGUUAAACCGGAGGAAGGUGGGGGAGUGACGUCAAGUCCUCAUGGCCUUUAUGACCAGGGCUACACACGUACUACAAUGGCCGAUACAAAGGGCAGCGACACUGCGAGGUGAAGCCAAUCCCGUAAAAUACGGUCUCAGUCCGGAUUGGAGUCUGCAACUCGACUCCAUGAAGUUGGAAUCGCUAGUAAUCGUGGAUCAGCAUGCCACGGUGAAUACGUUCCCCGGGCCUU
rnacentral:rRNA from 1 species